GAAAUGGCGGCGGUUUCACGGUACCGUCGCUUUCACCGACAGUAAAACGUAAAACCCGGUCGUGGUAACACCAGAGUCCAAACCACGCGCUCCUAGAGCCGACAAUGCACAAAUAUCGAUGGAUUUCGUUGGCUAUGGAUUUUAACGGAUAUGUGACACUAGCGGCACCUAGAAAAGUUGAAAACUACAUGACGUCGGGGUUAAACAUCAAUAAAUAAAUAAAUUGGUAGCGUUUGUUUUAUUCAUACAUUAGUUUGGUGACUUAUCAAUUUAAACAAAUCUCCACAGACAAAUUAUAACAGCACAGUCGUACCGUCGGUGUCAUCCUUGGUGUUAUCCUACGUUGAUUUCAUGAAUUGCAGUUUACACCAACACGCUCGGCAACAAGCAGUAAAAUAAUUAUGCCUAAUUUUUAACAACAAACAAGAAAAGUAGCGAGAAGUAUAUUCUUAUUGAAUCAUAUACCGACUAACCACUGAUCGGUAUAGCCAGCUUCGCGACCUCACCUGUCUCGGCUGGCAACCCGAUUUUCGAGUUUUGUUCUUUUUCUUUGUUUCUUCCGUGUCCACGUUGUUGCUGUCGCGUGUCAACGGUUAUACAACGGUGUUACUAAAAUAUUUUUAUUUCUGUUUUAAGUAGUAUGGUGCGUGUGUGGCAGUACUCACGUUGGACAAUGUUCCAGAAGAACUUUUCGUCUAGUUGAACUAUCUGCUUGAGUUGUCCAUUUCGGGUUAGUACUUGCUUUCCAUACCACGUCCUUUUUUUCCAUCCCCCUCUCUUUUUGUGUUACUCGAAAUUCAUUCCGUUCGUGUUUUCGUAAGUAGCGUCCUAAAGGACUAGUACAGAUGUUGGCUAGCGUUUCACAACUUUCGUUCACCUAUAGUUGAACGGCCUACUUGUUUCUAUUUUUGGGAAAGUUAGUUUAGUCUCAUUCUGAACCGCUUCGUUAUUUCGCGCAUAUCAUCCGUACCACGCUUUGUUUUUUCCGUCUUCGCCCGUUCCUGUCUGGCUGGAAGCACAUCCAGUCUGCGACUGUGAGCUACAGGUCUGCACGGUGGAGAGGGGCUUCCCCACGCCUGGGUCAAGCACAUCCAGUCUGCCGCUGUGAGCUACAGACGGACACUCCCUCCAAGGUCUGACUAGGACAUGGGUCAGACAACAGCAAGACAGCUGCUAAAUAUAUGGCAGAAGAGCUUUCCAGGGCAGAAAGGUAUUGCACAGUUGACAAAAAGGGCGACUGUCGAGGAGUGGAGCCACCAGAAGAUCUGGAGAAAAUGCAUACUAUUAAAAUUAUCAUCUUAUUUCAAUAUA
rnacentral:lncRNA from 1 species